AGAGUUGCUUCCCUCAAACAGCCACACAGCCACAAUGUCUGAAAUAGAGAGAUAAUAUUUCCGAACGUGAUCUACAAAAUCAUGAAACAUACCGCUUCAACUCAGAUGAAGCUGUGAGCACAACGAUCAGACUGAAAGCUUUUAUUUCGAAAGCUUUUUAUGGCCUAUUGAACAGCUUAAAAACUGCUGCGAUCGAAGUGGUGAAACUAAUUUCUAAAGCACUUGUUUACCUACUAACAAGUAAUGAAGCACUCUCUUUCAUUGAAGCAUUUCACGUGCUUCUUGAUGACCUUGCCUUGUUUCCGACUACCUUAAUUGGUUUACACUUUCAAGUUUUGGGCGUCUCGCCACUUCAUACACAUUUUGCUAUCGUCUUGCUUUUCUUCAUGGCUACAAUCAUCCAUUGCAUUGCAUAUAUGGAGAUUAAACUACAACCUCAAGAUGCUGGGUGCCUUCCUGUAUUGAAGUUCAUUUGUUUGGUUUCUGGAAUUAUUGCUAUUGAGCUACUCUUCGCAAUAAUCAUCUCUCCCUUUUGGCUAUUCAUGGUAAAUUUAUGCCCAAUCCUGAUCUUGGGGGUACUGCGUCAUUUGUACCAACAAAUUUAUCAAUGUGUACUCAAUGCAAUAUGUAGCUUGUUUAAAAAGAUUUGUCAAUUAGUUGAUCAAAUAUAUGACUGGGGGUCCUUCAGAAAUUCCAGUAAGCAGCUUCUCAAGCAUUUUCUUCAAGGGGGAAGGAAGACAAUUGAUGAGGACAACAAAGAGCUCAAGGAAAAAGAAUAUUAAAUAUACUAAGAUUCAAGAAUUAUGGUCUAGUUUUAAUGUUGGACAUUCUUAGCACCUUUGAUAGGUUAUUUUAGCUAUUAUUGAGUCUUAGUAAUGAGUCUUUUAGGUUGGGAAGUUGUUGGAUCAGUUGUAAUUAAGUUUACUAGAAUAAGGGCAAUUUGGUAAUUUUUGGAAUGGGCUAUCCUUGGCUACCAAAGGCCCAUGAGUCUUAUUUAAUGUCUUGAGUCCUUGGAUUCCAAAUGUGUCCCAGACCAUUGACGUUUACUAUUGAAUUGCAAAGGAGACAGAGAAGGAAAUUGGCUUUUAGAGAGAAUCAUUGUCCAUUUGCCUACAAUAGGACCCCCCAAUAAACUUUCCAGGCAAGCAUUAUUAGAAUGAUAGAAUCAUGGUGGUGAUCAGCAGUGUUUCACAGUUCCACAUCCUAGGAUGCACUUUGGCCUCCUUUAGAGUUUAGAAAUUUAAACAGUUAGUGAUUGUCUAGAACUCAUAUUGAUUCAAAGUUUUACAAUCUUGAACUUGUACUAA